UCGAUAACGAACGAGACCUCGACCUGCUAAAUAGCUCGGCUUAAGGUUCGCCUUAUGUACGUGGCUUCUUAGAGGGACUAUCGGUGUGUAGCCGAUGGAAGUUCGAGGCAAUAACAGGUCUGUGAUGCCCUUAGAUGUUCUGGGCCGCACGCGCGCUACACUGACGCAUGCAUCGAGCUGUUUACCUUGACUGACAAGUCUGGGGAAUCUUUUCAACGUGCGUCGUGCUGGGGAUAGAUUAUUGUAAUUAUUAAUCUUCAACGAGGAAUUCCUAGUAAACGCAAGUCAUCAACUUGCAUUGA
rnacentral:rRNA from 1 species